rnacentral:lncRNA from 10 species
UGGGGACCUUGUUAAAAUUAGAUUCUUAUUCAGUAGGGAUAGUGCAUUUCUAACGAGUUCCCAAAAGAUGCCAAUACUGUUGUCAGUCAACCUUACUUAAGGGAGUAAGACCUUGGAGCAAGACAGACUGGGGGGUCCAGUGUAAAGAUAUCAAAUGCAAUGAGCUUGCUUUUGUGCCCCAGUGCUGGGUCCUAAGGAAUAAGAUAGCUGCUAGUGAGGCUACUGCCGUCUUGUGUAAUUUUUACACCUUGAAUCCUCUCACUAUGGAAAUCUUGUCUUGUCGCUGGUUUGCCUUGGUUCUAAGGUUCUCUUUUACUCUGGGCAGGGACUCUAGAUCUUUGAUUUUGUAACUGAUUUUGGAUUCCAGAAUCACAACUUCUUUAUCAAGUCAUUCUCUGAAAACAAUGCCAAGUUAAAGAUUGUCCAUAAAUGUCUUAAUGAGGGUAUCCAAUUGAGAGAUGUAGCUAGAAUAACACCCAUCUGGCUCCCCUAUCUUGAAUCUUCUCUUCAGUAUGACUUUAUCCAUGGUCUUGCCUUGAUUCUAAUGUCUUCAAUUUCUGGUCAUCGCUGGAAAAGGUGUCUAGCUCUUUGAUUCAAAACCAAAUCUGGACUCUACACUCUUCAGUGUUGUUUCUAAACCAAGCUUUCAGUAGGUAGUAUAACCCACGCAAGGCUUUUAGUUGAAUGCAUCACUGAGGAUUUUCAACUGAUCCUCUAUUAAUUUGAUAUGACCAGAUCUACCAUGCAUUUUGUAAAAGAAUUAACUCAGUGGACUGAUGUGAAAAAAAAAG